rnacentral:rRNA from 1 species
AUUGAACGCUGGCGGCAGGCCUAACACAUGCAAGUCGAACGAGUGGCGGACGGGUGAGUAAUGUCUGGGAAACUGCCUGAUGGCGGGGGAUAACGACUGGAACCGGUAGCUAAUACCGCAUACCAUCAGAUGUGCCCAGAUGGGAUUAGCUUGUUGGGUGGGUAACGGCUCACCAAGGCGACGAUCCCUAGCUGGUCUGGGAGGCUGACCAGCCACCCUGGAACUGAGACACGUCCCUGUCUCCUACGGGGGGCAGCAGUUGGGUAUAUUGCGCAAUGGGCGCAAGCCUGAUGCAGCCAUGCCGCGUGUAUGAAGAGGGCCUUCGGGUUGUAAAGUACUUUCAGCGGGGAGGCGUUACCCGCAUAAGAAGCACCGGCUAACUCCGUGCCAGCAGCCGCGGUAAUAC